rnacentral:rRNA from 1 species
GUGCCAGCCGCCGCGGUAAUACGGAGGAUGCAAGCGUUAUCCGGAUUUAUUAGGUUUAAAGGGUGCGCAGGCGGAAAUGUAAGUCAGUGGUGAAAUCCUACAGCUUAACUGUAGAACUGCCAUUGAAACUACUUUUCUUGAGUAUAGUUGAGGUAGGCGGAAUGCGUAGUGUAGCGGUGAAAUGCAUAGAUAUUACACAGAACACCGAUUGCGAAGGCAGCUUACUAAACUAUUACUGACGCUCAUGCACGAAAGCGUGGGGAACGAACAGGAUUAGAAACCCGGGUAGUCC